AUUGAACGCUGGCGGCAUGCUUUACACAUGCAAGUCGAACGGCAGCGCGGGCUUCGGCCUGGCGGCGAGUGGCGAACGGGUGAGUAAUGCAUCGGAACGUGCCCAGUAGUGGGGGAUAGCCCGGCGAAAGUCGGAUUAAUACCGCAUACGACCUGAGGGUGAAAGCGGGGGACCGAAAGGCCUCUCGCUAUUGUAGCGGCCGAUGUCGGAUUCGCUAGUUGGUGGGGUAAAGGCUUACCAAGGCUGCGAUCCGUAGCUGGGCUGAGGGGACCGCCCGCCAACCUGGGAGUGAGGACCGGCCCCGACUCCGAAGGGGAGGAACAGUGGGGGAUUUUGGGCAAGGGGGGGGAACCCAGUACCACCCAGGCGGCGGGGGGGAAAAAGCCCUAGGGGUUGUAACCCGUUUUGGUCGGGGAGGAAACCAUCUGGGUUAAACCCCGGGGGGAUGACGGUACCGGAAGAAUAAGCACCGGCUAACUACGUG
rnacentral:rRNA from 1 species